CAGCCGCCGCGGUAAUACGUAGGGUGCGAGCGUUGAUCGGAUUUACUGGGCGUAAAGCGUGCGCAGGCGGCCCGUUAAGACAGGUGUGAAAUCCCUGGGCUCAACCUAGGAAUUGCGCUUGUGACUGGCGGGCUCGAGUACGGUAGAGGGGGGUGGAAUUCCUGGUGUAGCAGUGAAAUGCGUAGAGAUCAGGAGGAACACCGAUGGCGAAGGCAGCCCCCUGGGCCUGUACUGACGCUCAUGCACGAAAGCGUGGGGAGCAAACAGGAUUAGAUACCCUGGUAGUCCACGCCCUAAACGAUGGGUACUAGCCGUUUGGUGCGCGAUAGCGCUGAGUGGCGAAGCUAACGCGUGAAGUACCCCGCCUGGGGAGUACGGCCGCAAGGUUGAAACUUAAAGGAAUUGGCGGG
rnacentral:rRNA from 1 species